rnacentral:lncRNA from 1 species
CCGAGAGAAAAUUUGCCCCAUGAUUAUCGAUCGCAUCAUAUAAUAUUGAAAUUGAAGUUGAUCGACCAUAUAAAACCGACUUUGUUAUCUUUCAUUGCAACCGGCAACCGACGGUAAAUGUGCACCGGUGGGCGGUGGCCGAUGGGUUGUGGAAACAUUCAACACCGGAUGUUUACCGAAGCGAAACAAGAAAAAAAAAUCCUGUAACCUUGCAAGUGGUAAGUUAGCAGCUACCAGACAUUAUAUUUUGACAUAAAUUCUUGGCAGCAAACCAGCGAGCGGCCAGAGUCCAUCACCGUCCACUGCAAUGGCAAAAUGCCGCAAUUAAUUUCAAUCCACGUCAUCACUACCCCCAAGUUUCUUUAAUAAAAAAAUAAAAUCACAGAAACACCGACCAACCAGUCCACCCUUGGACUAAGCAAACCAAGUGCUCUUUCUCCAAGCAAGUGGGCCGGAACUUCCUCCUCGGUCAUCUCCUCUCCGAUAUAAUCUUUCAUUCACCUCCAUCAACUUCAGCAGGAUCAGAUAAACCCCUAA